rnacentral:lncRNA from 1 species
AAUAGUUAGGCUAAGUGCAUGCUGCACAGAACAAAAAUUGCAUUCAAGGUUGGAAGACUUAAUUGAUGUGCGGGUAGAAAAUAUACAAAAAAAAAAAAACGUGGUGAAAAUUUUGCUCCAUAAAAGGGAACAUAAACCAAAUAAAAACCAAUAUGAAAGUGUUGUGGCUGCAAAGACGAAAACUUAAAAACCAACCCCUGGAUAAGGUACGCCAAGAAAAAAAUGAAAAAGUGACCUUAUUACAUAAUUCCAUGUAUGUACUGUACAUAGGUUAUGAUCCACGUGUGGCAGGAAAUUGCUGACCUGGCCUGACCCUCGGUCUCGGAGGGGGUCCGCUCCAGUACCACGAUCAUCCGUCCCUCUUUUUGGUGCCACCGGACCUUGCCUGCAGGCGAAAAAACGGAUGGACUUGGCGAUCGGGACCGAGUUGUUUAUAUACAUAUAUCUCACGCGCAACUAAGCCGCUCAACAACAACGAUAAUAUAAAACCAUCUAAUAUAUUAUAUCACCGCGCCUUGUGUGAAGAAAAUGUUGGUGCUUGCAUAUGUAGGGUGGGGAAAAAUUAGCUCAGCGGUCAUUGCCCUUGCGGCUGACCAUACACCUAUGCGCACUUAAAUAGAACCACCUGACCGUAUGUCACCUAUUCUCUCCUCCUCUCAGGUUAUUAAAAUUGUUCGAUGCCGACAUUCUAAAAGCCACUUAAGGGAAGAAAAGUAAAUCGCAAAAAUCUAGAAAAGAAAAUUUAAUGAAAAAUUAUGGAUAGAAAAAAAAAAUAGAAACGAAAAUUGUUCAAUAAUAUUAAAUAUUCCUAGACAUUAACUUAGAAAUAGAAGAAGAAUAGAUUCUAAAAGGGUGCAUCAUCGGUCUCAUUGUGUCCAUGGAAGGGUAUUGGUUAAAUACCUCUUCAUAACGCUUCUUGUUAUUUUGCAUAUUUCUACAUUUCUUUAACAGUUUUUAUUGCGAACGUGAAAUUGGGCCCAACGACACCAACAGCUGUUUAAAAAUCUGUAAGUAGACACACAUAUAUACACAUACACUCCGGGUCAGGCGAAUAGCGUCUACACAGUGAGACAUGCAUGCUUAACCAUAUAUAAAAUGAAUUAUUAUUAACUACAAUCACUACAAUUAUGCCGCCAUUUAAUUCAUUUAAUUAAUUCAUUCUUACUUUAUAUUUUGAUUAUAUUAUUUUUAUUCAUAUUUGACCAUUCUCUUGAAUUCAUAUGUAUUAAAUUAGUCCCACAUAUAUACACAUGCAGUAAAAAUAGUUUUAAGGGUUAGGGUAGAAAUAAUGGGGGUUACAAACAACUUGAAGUCUUACAAGUCAAAGUAAAAUUAUAACGAUUUAACAUGCAUUUCUAAUCUGAUUUUUGGGAGGGGUAGGCAGCAGCGGCAGGUUUAGGGCAGAACCAUAAUGGCAUUUUCUUAUGUUAUUCUACAUGGAGGGUGGGUCAAGAGGGAAGAGCACAACCACCUUGCUCUUCACAGUAGGUAGUUCCGGUAAGUUCCGUCCGGGUUUGUAAUUCCGAUCCCAGUUCCCGUAAAUCUGUCAACGAUUUUGUUAGGUGACGGAGUUCGUUUUCGCAGCACAACACCCACCCUAUUUUCCCUGAGCCUAGCCGGCCAACCUUUAGUAGACAGAGAGUGCUGACGAGACGACACUUCCCGUGUCCGUUACAAAGUUGAAGAGUGGUUGGCUGAAAAGAUAAUAAAGCCCAGUACAUCAGAAUAUUCAUCGCCAGUAGUAUUGGUACCCAAAAAGAAUGGCAGCAAAAUGUUGUGCUGUGACUACCGAAAGCUAAAUGAGAAAUUUAUUCGUGAUAACUUUCCCGUGUCCCAUAUGGAAGUUAACACAUAAGAAAUAACGUGUAAGAAAUUAAGCACGAAUGUUCAUGUGCCACCCUAACUUAGCGCAUAAGAAAUACGAUUUAUCAUGUGACGCCCUAACUUAUCCAGUCUGAUACGGAGGGCGCCGAUGCAGUAGAUGCCGUUGCAGCGGGCGACUCUCUUAUCUGAUUGGGCGCCAGCGAUCGCAUGAUUUUGUUUUGUGCGCGGGCGGCUCUUAUCUCAUUUGUGCGCUGCCGGCUCGCCAGCUAAGUUUCGGUUUAGGUUUAGAAGUAAGCUUCAGUUUAGAAUUGGACGAAUAAAUGAACGGAGCGUUCCAAUCAACUCCGACACGAGUCGUAAAACGUGUAUUAAUAUAAUUAUAUUGUUGAGCCUUAAGGGCCAACGAAAUAGAGGGCAGUUACCCUCUCAACAUAAUCUUCGGUAGAAGACUCAGUUGCCAACCGCAACCACCGUCCCCCGCUACAAGAGCGGGCCACGGGAACCCGAUCGCUGCCGCCGGAGCCAACGCAACGCAUACCGCAGCUCAGACCAUUACGACAUAAAGAUAAUUUGCGCCCAACGGGAUUUAGAAUCCACGUCCCCAAGAAAAAAUAACAUGUAAGUGACUGUUCGGAAAAAAUAAAGCUUGUGAGAGAAUUUUUAUUUCCCCUUCGCUGAUCGUUCAUGAGUUGGGACUAUAGAAACAAGGUUGAAUACGACAGCGACGAGAGCCUAGACUUAUUAUACCAGCCCCCAGUCAGAUCAGUACAGAAUCUAUUUAAAAUGGAUCCAGCCAUGAUAAAAGCGUUAGUAGAAGGCGCAAUCAACAACGCCCUCGACGAACAGGAACGACGACUGAGUGCAGAAUUUGGCAGGGACCUCGAAAAAAGUUAGAAAUAGUGUGAGCGCCCUAACUGUAGGUGUCCCUCAGGUGGAAACUUAUAAGAGAGUCCCCAUUGACAAUAAUAUAUAAGAUACAG